rnacentral:pre_miRNA from 14 species
GAACAAAGGCGGCCCCGCGGCCCCUCUCUGCGUGUUCACAGCGGACCUUGAUUUAAAUGUCCAUACAAUUAAGGCACGCGGUGAAUGCCAAGAACGGGGCCGCCUCGCGGCGAGGGCCGGG